UGGUGGCUUUGUGGACUUGGAUUUGACAAAGGAUAAGAAAAUUUCUCUUAGGAGUUUGAUUGAUCACUCGGUAGUGGAAAGUUUUGGAGCAGGAGGAAAGACAAUCAUAUUGUCUCGAGUUUAUCCACAGCUUGCAGUGUUAAAGCAAGCUCAUCUUUUUGUGUUCAACAAUGGCACUGAACCAAUCACCAUGAAAAAGCUAAAAGGAUG
rnacentral:sRNA from 1 species